GACGAACGCUGGCGGCGUGCUUAACACAUGCAAGUCGAACGGAAAGGCCCUGCUUUUGUGGGGUGCUCGAGUGGCGAACGGGUGAGUAACACGUGAGUAACCUGCCCUUGACUUUGGGAUAACUUCAGGAAACUGGGGCUAAUACCGGAUAGGAGCUCCUGCUGCAUGGUGGUGGUUGGAAAGUUUCGGCGGUUGGGGAUGGACUCGCGGCUUAUCAGCUUGUUGGUGGGGUAGUGGCUUACCAAGGCUUUGACGGGUAGCCGGCCUGAGAGGGGGACCGGCCACAUUGGGACUGAGAUACGGACCAGACGCCUACGGGAGGCAGAAGUGGGGAAUAUUGCACAAUGGGCGGAAGCCUGAUGCAGCAACGCCGCGUGCGGGAUGACGGCCUUCGGGUUGUAAACCGCUUUCGCCUGUGACGAAGCGUGAGUGACGGUAAUGGGUAAAGAAGCACCGGCUAACUACGUG
rnacentral:rRNA from 1 species